CUUAGUGGCGGACGGGUGAGUAAUGCUUAGGAAUCUGCCUAGUAGUGGGGGAUAACUUGGGGAAACCCAAGCUAAUACCGCAUACGACCUACUGGUGAAAGGGGGCUUUUAGCUCUCGCUAUUAGAUGAGCCUAAGUCGGAUUAGCUGGUUGGUGGGGUAAAGGCCUACCAAGGCGACGAUCUGUAGCUGGUCUGAGAGGAUGAUCAGCCACACUGGGACUGAGACACGGCCCAG
rnacentral:rRNA from 1 species